GGUUAAGCGACUAAGCGUACACGGUGGAUGCCCUGGCAGUCAGAGGCGAUGAAGGACGUGCUAAUCUGCGAAAAGCGUCGGUAAGGUGAUAUGAACCGUUACAGCCGGCGAUGUCCGAAUGGGGAAACCCAGUGUGAUCCGUCACACUAUCGUUAACUGAAUACAUAGGUUAACGAGGCGAACCGGGGGAACUGAAACAUCUAAGUACCCCGAGGAAAAGAAAUCAACCGAGAUUCCCCCAGUAGCGGCGAGCGAACGGGGAGCAGCCCAG
rnacentral:rRNA from 1 species